rnacentral:rRNA from 1 species
AGGAUGAACGCUGGCGGCGUGCCUAACACAUGCAAGUCGAACGUCCUGUCUCGCAAGAGGCAGGGAGUGGCGGACGGGUGAGUACCACGUGGGUCAUCUACCGUGAGGUGAGGAAUACCGGCGAGAAAUCGCCGACAAGACCGCAUAGCCUCGGUGCAAGCCGAGGAAAGCUUUCUCGAGAGAGGGAGCGCCACACGAGGAGCCUGCGCCCGAUUAGCUAGCUGGUGGAGUAACGGUUCACCAGGGCGACGAUCGGUAGCUGGUCUGAGAGGACGAUCAGCCACACUGGGAUUGAGAACGGCCCAGACUCCUACGGGGGGCAGCAGUGAGGAAUUUUCGUCAAUGGGGGCAACCCUGAACGAGCAACGCCGCGUGCAGGAAGAAGGUUUUCGGAUCGUAAACUGCUUUUCUCGGGGAAGAGGAACGGACGGUACCCGAGGAAUCAGCCCCGGCUAACUACGUGCCAGCAGCCGCGGUAA